AAUCGGAAGUACUGGGCGUAAAGGGUGCGUAGGCGGUUAUCUAAGUCGGGUGGGAAAGCCCCGGGCUCAACCUGGGAAUUGCAUUCGAGACUGAAUAGCUAGGGUACGGUAGAGGGAAGUGGAAUUUCCGGUGUAGCGGUGAAAUGCGUAGAUAUCGGAAGGAACAUCAGUGGCGAAAGCGACUUCCUGGACCAGUACCGACGUUCAGGCACGAAAGCGUGGGGAGCAAACAGG
rnacentral:rRNA from 1 species